rnacentral:rRNA from 1 species
UACAGGGGGUGCAAACGUUGCUCGGAAUUAUUGGGCGUAAAGCGCGCGUAGGCGGCUACUUAAGUCGGAUGUGAAAGCCCUUGGCUCAACUGAGGAAGUGCACCCGAAACUGAGUGGCUAGAGUACGAAAGAGGGGCGCGGAAUUCCCGGUGUAGAGGUGAAAUUCGUAGAUAUCGGGAGGAACACCGGUGGCGAAGGCGGCGACCUGGGUCGAUACUGACGCUGAUGCGCGAAAGCGUGGGGAGCAAACAGG